rnacentral:lncRNA from 1 species
AGUCGGCCCCUAGGGUGGAGCUGGGAAGAGCGAGUCCUGUGGAGGAUGCGUUUCUAUUUUUAACCCAAUUGUCCGCCCUCAGCCUCCCUCCUUCGGAUUUUCUCAUUCAAACCCGUUUUUCGCCAUCCUAGUUCUCACGCUUUGUCUCCAGCCCUGGGCAGACAUUCCCUCCCCCAAGAAUCGUAAGGAUUCACCCCCAGAAAAGGAAAAGAAUUGCCUUAUGGCUUCGAGGUCUUUUCUGUUUAUGAAACCUCCUCACUCCCCACACCCAUUUUGAGCUCCGAAGUCCAGCCCGAGCGUGGCCCUGACGCAGCUGGCGGCGUGCGUUCGCUCGCCCAAGGUCACGGGUGGUUGUGCGGAGUGAGGAAACGCGCGGCCGCCCAGGGCUGCCAAUGCCCCGGCGGCGCUGUUCUGAACAAACUGUUUUGGCCAGCCUGUGAAAUCCCUGGAAAUUGACGAUUCCAGCAAAGCGUCGUGAACUGGGAAAGCACCAAAUGUUCUACUCAAAAGCCGCGAAGGGACAAAACAAGCUAGACCCGAGGCCCAGAUGAAGCGGGAGGAGGAGGCUUGCGAGAGGAAGUUCAAGGGGGGAGGUACUAGGCGGGCAGUUCAGGCACGAGGCACAGGUCCCCCAUGGGUGAAAGGAUGACUUUACCCGGAACACUGGGAACCUUUUCAGAGCACAAACAAAAAACAUUUUCAACUGACCGCUCCAAGUGAAUUUCAGUUCAACUCAAAA